GUCUGGAGAGCUACAGUCCAUGGGGUCACAGAGAGUCGGACACGACUGAGUGACGAAGCACAGCAUAUGCUGGAGGCUAUAUGCGGGGAUAAAGCUAACCAGCCUCCCUGGAACUUUGAAAUCAGCAGCUUAGUACCACCAUGCUAUAACCAGUUGUACGUGAUAGAACCAAAAGGCCGGCAGAGGCGAGAAGAAUAAAGGCAAGAGACCCAGAUCUUUCAUUUUGAACGUCUCAAGAUCCUGCUGAGGUCCAAGUGUGUAUGUCCACGAAAAGAGCAAGGGCUCCCCUGUGAACAAACUGCCCCUCUCUCAAGGUCUGCUCUAGGAUGCUGGGACCAGGAGGCUCG